CGGCAGAAGAAUAGCCUCGUCGACAAUACAAGUAUGCACGCACAGACCCCUUCUUCCCAGGCGCGCACACACACCCACACAUUACAUAUACAUGCAUCCCGGUAUACUCUCUCACUCUCUCGCUAACCAUCUCCCCGGCAACCAUGGAGACGGAGCAAGUAGAUAAUAUUCAGGCCAACGUGCUGGCCAUCCCGACCUUUGAGGCGAUGGGGUUGAAGGAGGACCUCCUCAAGGGCAUGUACAGCUUCGGUUACAAGAAGCCCACCGCCAUUCAGAAGCGCUUCAUUAUGCCUUUCCUAAAGGGACGCGACGUGAUUGCGCAGGCGUCUUCUGGUACGGGCAAGACGUCCGCCUUCUGCGUCUGUCUCCUGCAAGCGUGCGACCCGCACACGCGUGAGACGCAGGCCCUCAUCCUCUCGCCGACUCGCGAGCUGGCGGUGCAGACGCAGGAUUUGUGCAACAACAUUGGCCACCACAUGGGGCUGACGGCGUACGCGUGCAUCGGUGGCAAGAGCACGGAGGAGGACAUCCGCCGUCUCGAGAGCGGUGUGCACAUCGUCUCCGGCACGCCCGGCCGCGUCUUUGAUAUGAUCCGCCGCAAGAGCCUUCGCGUAAAUGGGCUGAAAACCCUCGUGCUGGACGAGGCUGAUGAGAUGCUGGGCAAGGGCUUCAAGGCUCAGAUUCACGACAUCUACCGCAUGGUCCCGCCGCUGCAGAUCAUCCUCGUGUCGGCGACGCUGCCGGCCGACGUGCUGGAGAUGACGGAGAAGUUCAUGACGGAGCCCGCGAGCAUUCUCGUGAAGCGGGAUGAGAUCACCGUGGAUAGUGUUAAGCAGUACUUUGUCUCCGUUGACGAGGAGAAAAACAAAUUCGAUGUCUUGAUGGAGUUGUACGACAGUCUCACGAUCGCCCACGCCGUGGUCUUCUGUAACACCCGCAAAAAGGUGGAGCAGCUCGCCAAGAAGAUGACGCGCGAGAAGUUCGCUGUAACCGCCAUGCACGGCGACAUGCCCCAGGCGGAGCGCGACGAGAUUAUGCGGCAGUUCCGCAAUGGGCACAGCCGCGUGCUCAUCACAACGGACCUGUGGGCGCGUGGCAUUGAUGUGGAGCGCGUCUCGCUCGUCCUCAGCUACGAUUUGCCGCUCGCGCGUGAGCAGUACAUUCACCGCAUCGGCCGCACUGGUCGCAUGGGCCGCACUGGGCUGGCCAUCACCUUCGUGCGCCACGACGAGCUGCGCUUGCUGCGCGACAUCGAGCAGUUCUACGCGACGCAAAUUGAGGAACUCCCCGCGAAUAUCGGCGAGCAAAUGUAGAAGAGGGAAACGCAGAGAGGCGGCACGUCCGCGCACUCGAGCGUGUUCUGCAGGCGUGUAUGUGAAGAGGAGGGAUCGAGGGGGGCGCUUCUCGGCUCUCCACCUCUCGCUUCUCCAAGCUAACCACGACGGCUACAACGGCGCCGGUGCAAGCAUGCGUAGCUCAACCCAAGGUGAUACGCGUAAGAUCGAGUAUGUCACCAUGCGUUACCUCAGCAAGAGGCGCUGCUAACCUGCAGUGCAUUUCUUUGCUGCUGGAUGCAACUCCCGAUGCGGCACUUAGGGAGAGCUCUAUGAGCGCUGCGAAUGAUGGUGACGAGUCACGGUGGUGAUGUCGGUUGCGUGAGCUCAGGGUGUGGCGAUGGCCGGGUGUACGUGCGUGUAUGCGUUUUCUUUGUUUUGCUAACGACUACCUCUUUAAGGAAAGGAG
rnacentral:misc_RNA from 1 species